rnacentral:rRNA from 1 species
UGGGGAAUUUUGGACAAUGGGCGAAAGCCUGAUCCAGCAAUGCCGCGUGUGUGAAGAAGGCCUUCGGGUUGUAAAGCACUUUUGUCCGGAAAGAAAUCCUUGGCUCUAAUACAGUCGGGGGAUGACGGUACCGGAAGAAUAAGCACCGGCUAACUACGUGCCAGCAGCCGCGGUAAUACGUAGGGUGCAAGCGUUAAUCGGAAUUACUGGGCGUAAAGCGUGCGCAGGCGGUUUGCUAAGACCGAUGUGAAAUCCCCGGGCUCAACCUGGGAACUGCAUUGGUGACUGGCAGGCUAGAGUAUGGCAGAGGGGGUAGAAUUCCACGUGUAGCAGUGAAAUGCGUAGAGAUGUGGAGGAAUACCGAUGGCGAAGGCAGCCCCCUGGGCCAAUACUGACGCUCAUGCACGAAAGCGUGGGGAGCAAACAGGAUUAGAUACCCUGGUAGUCCACGCCCUAAACGAUGUCAACUAGUUGUUGGGGAUUCAUUUCCUUAGUAACGUAGCUAACGCGUGAAGUUGACCGCCUGGGGAGUACGGUCGCAAGAUUAAAACUUAAAGGAAUUGACGGGGUCAUAGCUGUUUCCU